AAGUAAACGACUCCUUAUACAAAUUACACUAGGAUCUGUUUGGUUAGGAUUUAUCGGAUUAUAGAAUAAUUUAAUAAUUUUUUAAAAUUAUUUAUCUAAAUGAUUAUAAAAAAAAUAAUUUGUAUUAUAUUUAGUUGGUAAAAAAAUUAUUUUAAAAAAUGAUAUUAAAAAAAUAUUAUUACAUUUGGUUGGAGAUAAAUCUAUGUAGGAACA
rnacentral:lncRNA from 1 species